rnacentral:Y_RNA from 1 species
GGUUGGUCCAAUGGUAGUGGGUUUUUAGAACUUAUUAACAUUUAGUGUCACUAAAGUUGGUAUACAACCCCCCACUGCUAAAUUUGAGUGGCUUAAA